CGGCCUCCCUAGACACUUAUCAUCUGCCCUGUGCGAUAGGAGGCUGGACCUUGGAGAUGUUUCUGAGAUUUGUUUCCUGGGCUUUGGAAAAGCAAAGUGAACGAAAGAUCCACUCUGAUGGGACGUGAUGAGAGGUGGAGAAGCAAAGACUUGGGGCUUUUGAAAGUGAAGUGGAUUUUUGAAUACUAAAAAAAAAAUAUGUAAUUUCCAGUUUUAAAGAACUGCCUAUAAGGAUAAUUGAACAAAUAAAAAGCUCACUUUUUG
rnacentral:lncRNA from 1 species